AUUGAACGCUGGCGGCAUGCCUUACACAUGCAAGUCGAACGGUAACAGGUCUUCGGACGCUGACGAGUGGCGAACGGGUGCGUAAUGCAUCGGAACGUGCCCAGUCGUGGGGGAUAACUGCUCGAAAGAGCAGCUAAUACCGCAUACGACCUGAGUGUGAAAGCGGGGGACCGUAAGGCCUCGCGCGAUUGGAGCGGCCGAUGUCAGAUUAGCUAGUUGGUGGGGUAAAGGCCUACCAAGGCAACGAUCUGUAGUUGGUCUGAGAGGACGACCAGCCACACUGGGACUGAGACACGGCCCAGACUCCUACGGGAGGCAGCAGUGGGGAAUUUUGGACAAUGGGCGCAAGCCUGAUCCAGCAAUGCCGCGUGCAGGAAGAAGGCCUUCGGGUUGUAAACUGCUUUUGUCAGGGAAGAAAUCUUCUGGGCUAAUACCCCGGGAGGAUGACGGUACCUGAAGAAUAAGCACCGGCUAACUACGUG
rnacentral:rRNA from 1 species